UGAACGAAGCCCUUAUUUUUUUUGUGGUCACUCAAAAGAAUCAAGGCAAACAAUCUAAUCUUUCUUUCUUCACCUUCGAACCAGAGUCCCAAAAAGGAAAGCAGAUUAUACCCUUCUUAUUCCUUCUCCCUCCUCUGAUUCUUUCAAACCCAGACUCGAACAGGAAGCGAGCAAAAACCUUCAUUCCAUCUUCUUCCUCACUCAUUCUCAAGACUUUCGAAAAGCCUUAAACAAUACAGCCUCUUGUUUUGUUUCUCAAAACAGGCGGUAAUCAAGAUUUUGGUUGGGUUUCGGAAAUUGCUAGUCCAUGAUCUCUGAAAUUCCUUCGCAAUUAAGGAUAGCCCACAACAAUUCAAUAAUUGGUUGAUCUUGAUCACACCACCAACACUUCCUUUAUUUGCCUCUGAAAUUCUGCCAUAAGCCAAGAAGGAGACGACGUCAUCGAGGAACCUUUCUAGUGAUUGCGGAGAAACGGACUUAGCACCUUGAAGCAUCUUUGUUGUUUACAGAUCGGAUCCGGUCAGGAACGAUGGGUUAGCAGAGCUAAAUUGAGUUCCAAGGAUGUUAUAUUAAGCUGAGCACGUGAGAAUUUAUAAUUUUGUAUUAGGAUUUUGAUAAAUGUAUAUUAGUCUUGGUUGUGUUGGUUAUAUUGCACUCGAAGUGAAUUGUAUGAUUACCUUGUGUUUUAGUUAGAUAUUUGGUUUGAGAAUUAGCUGAGUUAAUUACGUCAAAGAGCUAGUGACCCCUUUGCUCAAGUUUUGGAAGCUUGAUUUAAGUUUCUUGGGAAAUGAAUCCCGUGAUGAUCCUGAUUACUUAGUCAAUAGUAAGUCGGGUUAUUACAAUAAGGAGUGAGAGGAUGGUAAGGGAACAAAGGAACCUAAGGUUUCAAGAGGAGUUUUGUGUCUUAAGGGCUUAGAGGGGAGGCGAUUGAUGAGAUAAGUAGCAGUAGCUAUUGCCUCGGGCAAAAAAGAAGCUGGUGUAUGGGACUCAAUUAGGAGGGCUCGAGUGAUUUCAAGCAAGGUACGGUUUUUGCGUUCAGCAAUCCCAUUUUAUUGUGGAGUGUUUGGGCAAGAGGUUUGAUGUAUCAUUCCAUGGUCUAAAAAGAACUAUUUCAUGCCUAAGUUAAUGUAUUCCCCCCAUUGUCAGAACGUAAUAUUUGUGGUUUAGCAUGAAAUUGAUAUUAAAGCCUAUUGUAAAAAGUAAUAAAUACUGAAAAAAAAACCUCUGAUUUGUAUUUCAAAAAAUACACCAAGCUCAUACAAGUACAAUCAUCCACAAAUAAAACAUAAUAGGAUAAUUAUGAGAAGAAAAAAUAGGAGCAGGUCCCCACACAUUAGAAUGUAUCAAUGAAAAAGGACUAGUAGUACGAGUAAAACUAGACAAAUAAGAGUGUUUAUGGCUUUUUGCCAAGACACAAGUUUCACACUCUAAAGACAAAACAGUAGGUUUUAGGGAAGGGAACAAAUAUUUUAAGUAAGCUAAAGAAGGAUGACUCAGAGGCUUGUGCCACAUCUAGAGUUGGUGAUCAGAGGACCCGCGAGCAAGCAUAGCCUGACUUUGUUGAGUCGUCUCAUCUACAUAGUAUAAACCUCCUCGUUCAGUACCACGUCCAAUAGCUGUCCCGGUCAGAGCAUCCUGCACAAUACAACCAUCAGAUGUUAUGAGAACAGUACAAUUGAGUUCUUUAGUCAGCUGACUAAUAGAUAUAAGCUUAUGAGUUAAACUAGGAAUCCAAAGACAGUUAUUUAAAUGAAUCGAGGGAGAGGAAUAAAGGAGAUCGCUUUUUUCUUUAUCUUAGGACUCAUCAAUACCACCCGAAAAUUGAUAAAGUAUCUGUUUUUGUAUGAAUGUGUUGAAUAUAGUCAUGUCCUCAGAACAUUUCAUAGGAUUCGGCAUACGUCGAUCUAUUUCUUUUCACACUGUAUUCAUUUUACUAAAGUAAAUUUCAAUAGUCAUUACCUUGUGUUAAUGUGGCAGCCUUCAUGCUCAGAUCAAAAACUUGUGGUUCGUCUCUUCCACUACUAAGAAGAGUUUCAAUUCCUUUCCAUAGGUCUCUUGCUGUGGUAUAAUCUAAAAAUUGAUUCACCAAUUCACCAUCAAUAUUUUCUAUGAUCCAUGAGAAAACAAUUUGCUCCCGUUGUGCCCAUUGAAUAUAUUCCGGGUCAGUAGGCGGUACGAGGGCAUCGGUGACGUGAUUGAGCCGCCCUUUACCUCCGAUAGCAACAUGCAUCAACUUGCACCAUUUUGUAUAAUUAUGGAAAGUCAGUUUUUCCGUCACACGAACAGAUGGGUUUGUUUAGUUUUUAGAACAUCUUAUACAUAUGUUCCUUUUGCUCCAUUGAAAAAAGUUGGUUUGUGCUGGAUUCGUUUGAUUGUUCGGCCAUUGUAGGUAAACACCGGUAAAUGAUGAGUACCAAAAAAGGGUUUUGUCGGUUUUGAACUUUACGGCUCUGAUACCAUGAAAAAUAAUUAAUGCGGAAAAAUAAACAAGAUUAGAGUUUUGAUUUGUGAAUACUCACUCUAUUGAAUUAUAAUGAAGAACAUAAACAACUAUUUAUACAAAGACUAAUGAGCUAAUCUAGAAAACAAAUAAUAUAUGGAAUAUUUUACAUAAUCAUCAAUAUCUCCUAAUAUUUCCUACACAAAAAACCCAAAUUUUAGCCAAUCCAAAAAAAUUUGAUCCGAAUUAAAUUGACUUGAUGACUUGAAUAAACGUUGUCUGAAAAGUUAAAUGAAAUUUAAAAUUGAAAAGUUUAAUGAAAAUCAAAUCCAAAACGUUGUCUGAAAAAGACAAUACGUACCCUAAGUGACAUAAAACCUGAUUCUCUAGAAUUAUCUUUGAAACAUUGGACGUGAUUGAAAUUUAAAAUGGUUUCAAAUUGUUCUUAUAUAAAAGAAAUAAAAAAUAGAAAUUUGUAUA